UUCUUCCAGUGAAAGGGAAAAGAAGUCAGAUGAUGUUGCCUAAAGCAACUGAGAAAAAUCAUUAAGGGAAUUCAUUUCCCCAUGAGGGAAAACAGCUUCCAGCUUGCCUCUUUGAUCCGACAUCACACAGAGGAAGGUGAUAGAUAUCCCAUGCAAGGGUAAACACUGCACCGUCACUCUGGUGGCCACAAAGGGCUUCUGGUCACGGAUGGAACAGCAGCUAAACAACAUCACAAAGGUGUGUUCUCUCUGAUCAAUGGUUAUGGUUGCAACACCAAUUGAUUCACCUGCACAGAGGAACAGAAAGUAGCACUUUUCUUGCUCUCAUUGUGUGUGUUGGGGAGGGAAGUGAACAUAUUUCAAAUAAUACCUGGGAGCUUUCCUCUCAUUAGUACAUCUUCAGCUGUGGCUUCAUUUUUAACUCUGGUUUGUGGCUUGUGGGAAAAGUGGUAGAUUUGAAAAAUUGUCGUGUGCACGCACAUAUAUUUGUAUGUACUCAUGUAUGCAGAUGUGCGAACGCAGUCCCAGUGCAGAAACUGAUGUGACAAGGUGGGGGCUUGGCCUAGAAGAGAAUGAGUGAGCACAGCAGGGGCACGGCGAGGAGCAAGGACGGUAAUAAAUCAGGACCAAACCGCAUGACAUUACAAAAUCCUCCUCUUCCAGAAAUACUGUUUUUAGGCGGUAAGCCAAGACAAUGCGUAUGGGAUAAACACUCAUUUUUAUUUCUAAUGAAACGACUUUUUUAAUGUGUGGAAUUAAUAUGCCUUGUCUGGCGCUGGAUAAUUCAAUAUCACAAACAAAUGAAUUGGAAAAAAAAA